UUACACCGAAUCAGAUAUGAAUGUUUUUAUUUAUAUUUAAUGAAUAUAAAACUUAGUUCAAGAUUGGAAAUAUACACUAAAAUAAAUUAUAUGCAAGUUUAUGUAAUUAUGUGGUUAAACCCAUUGUUUAGACGUCAAUCUGAAUGUCUAGCACCUAAUCAGAGCUUAGACGAUCGACAAAACCGCAUAAAACAUAAUCUCCAAAUAUUAUUUAAAAACCAAAACAAGAAAACCCUCUUCCACCUUUCAAAAUCUUAUUUAACUUUUUCUUGAUCUUUUGCUCACUGAGGUUUUCUCCUUUCACAAUUAGUACGGCGGCGGCGUCAUCAAAAUCAAUAAAAGCAACUCCUAGAAAAUGGAAAAAGCAUUUGUAACACAUUGGUCUGAAACUUGUAGAGUAUAUGAAUGAUUUGAUUUUAGUCUCAUUAUAAUCAUAAGGCUGCGUUGGUGUCUAUUGGUUGUUACCUUUACAAUUACCGAUACGUCGUAGUGCCUCCUGCUUAGUAUCUUCGCCAAUAGUUCCAACAUUAAACUGAAGUUCCUCUUUCUGCAGCGAACAAUGCAAUUUAGUCAAGUCCUUAAUAAACUUUGUCAUAUAAGCAAAACAUAGCUUUGUUGAGUAUGGAUAAAUAUAUUUAUGUUUUGUUGCAUAAGGUUCUUACAUAAAUUAAAACCAUUUUCUUCAAAAAAAAUUUAAAAACUAUGAAAAACAAAUCAAAUUUUUGUAAAGCUUGUAAGUUGUAGAGAAGAGGCUCAUCAACCUAUAUUUAUAUAAGAUUAUUAUAAG
rnacentral:lncRNA from 1 species